UCGGUAGCUUAGUGGUAGAGCAGGGGACUCAUAAUCCCAAGGCCACAGGUUCAAACCCUGGUC
rnacentral:ncRNA from 11 species